GGUUGCGUAGCUCAGUUGGUUAGAGCAUCGGACUUUUAAUCUGGUGGUCGCAGGUUCGAGUCCUGUCGCAACUA
rnacentral:tRNA from 1 species